UGUCAAAGUGAAAAGCAAAAAGUUUGUAUUAAACCGUAUAUAUUUUAGCUACGAUUUAUUUCCUUUUGUAAUAGUUUGGUAUAAAAAUCGAAAACUAACUACAAAGAGACAUGGUUCCUGUUUUUAUACGCAGAAGAUUUUAAUUUGGCUCGAUUUGAAGCAUACUGAACGAUGGAAAGAAGAAAGAGGUACAAAUAAGAGUAACAGUAAUAAAAGUGUAUAAAACGCUAAUGUUUGAAGUGAAAAAAAUUGAAAAACUGUUUUUGUUUGUAAAGAAUCAUUAGUAAAUGUUUAAUAAACAAUGUUAAAA